UACGAAGGGGGCUAGCGUUGCUCGGAAUUACUGGGCGUAAAGGGCGCGUAGGCGGACAGUUCAGUCGGGGGUGAAAGCCCGGGGCUCAACCCCGGAACUGCCUUCGAUACUGGCUGUCUUGAGUACGGGAGAGGUGUGUGGAACUCCGAGUGUAGAGGUGAAAUUCGUAGAUAUUCGGAAGAACACCAGUGGCGAAGGCGACACACUGGCCCGAUACUGACGCUGAAGCGCGAAAGCGUGGGGAGCAAACAGG
rnacentral:rRNA from 1 species